rnacentral:lncRNA from 1 species
CCAUGACCCACAGCUUCUAAUAGAACUAUAACACUCACUGCAUGGCCCAAGAUUCCAUUCCUUGGAAUCCCUGAGGCCAAGAACCCCAGGUCAGAGAACACAACACUUGCCACCAUCUUGGAAGUGGCCCGCCACCAUCUUGGAAGCAGCCACCACCAUCUUGGGAGCUCUGGGAGCAAGGACCCCCUGGUAACAGCAUGAGCUCAAAAAUGAGCAUCACACAGUCCAGAAGUAAACUGGCAAAAGUAUGUGAGGAAAUUCAACAAUACUUUACCAAGUAAAUAGAGAAGAAAUAUUCUUCACUUCAAAGAACCUCACUGCAGCUUUAAUCUGACUGUAAAAUGCACAUACAAAAUAAAUAGAAAAUUGGACACAACUAUCAUGAUGGGUUCAUCUAACUUCUACAUGAGAUUGUCUACAUCCUGUUUAUUUUUAAAUGAGACAAGAUAUAAUUAGUGAUUAAAAGAGUAAGCAAGUGUCAUUGUUUGCAUAGAUAUUUCUAAGACUAUGACAAAAUAACCAUAUACAUUUGCAAGAACUUUUAUUGACUACGUCAAGUCAAAUGAUAAGAACUGUUACACAUCCCUAAUGAGUUUUUGUAUGAAUUUUAGUUUGUUCUAAAAUGAAAAGCAAUAAAACAGAAAAUUAUGUGAACAAAU